rnacentral:rRNA from 1 species
GACGAACGCUGGCGGCGUGCUUAACACAUGCAAGUCGAACGGAAAGGCCCUGCUUUUGUGGGGUGCUCGAGUGGCGAACGGGUGAGUAACACGUGAGUAACCUGCCCUUGACUUUGGGAUAACUUCAGGAAACUGGGGCUAAUACCGGAUAGGAGCUCCUGCUGCAUGGUGGGGGUUGGAAAGUUUCGGCGGUUGGGGAUGGACUUGCGGCUUAUCAGCUUGUUGGUGGGGUAGUGGCUUACCAAGGCUUUGACGGGUAGCCGGCCUGAGAGGGUGACCGGCCACAUUGGGACUGAGAUACGGCCCAGACUCCUACGGGAGGCAGCAGUGGGGAAUAUUGCACAAUGGGCGGAAACCUGAUGCAGCAACGCCGCGUGCGGGAUGACGGCCUUCGGGUUGUAAACCGCUUUCGCCUGUGACGAAGCGUGAGUGACGGUAAUGGGUAAAGAAGCACCGGCUAACUACGUGCCAGCAGCCGCGGUGAUACGUAGGGUGCGAGCGUUGUCCGGAUUUAUUGGGCGUAAAGGGCUCGUAGGUGGUUGAUCGCGUCGGAAGUGUAAUCUUGGGGCUUAACCCUGAGCGUGCUUUCGAUACGGGUUGACUUGAGGAAGGUAGGGGAGAAUGGAAUUCCUGGUGGAGCGGUGGAAUGCGCAGAUAUCAGGAGGAACACCAGUGGCGAAGGCGGUUCUCUGGGCCUUUCCUGACGCUGAGGAGCGAAAGCGUGGGGAGCGAACAGGCUUAGAUACCCUGGUAGUCCACGCUGUAAACGGUGGGUACUAGGUGUGGGGUCCAUUCCACGGGUUCCGUGCCGUAGCUAACGCUUUAAGUACCCCGCCUGGGGAGUACGGCCGCAAGGCUAAAACUCAAAGGAAUUGACGGGGCCCCGCACAAGCGGCGGAGCAUGCGGAUUAAUUCGAUGCAACGCGUAGAACCUUACCUGGGUUUGACAUGGAUCGGGAGUGCUCAGAGAUGGGUGUGCCUCUUUUGGGGUCGGUUCACAGGUGGUGCAUGGCUGUCGUCAGCUCGUGUCGUGAGAUGUUGGGUUAAGUCCCGCAACGAGCGCAACCCUUGUUCACUGUUGCCAGCACGUUAUGGUGGGGACUCAGUGGAGACCGCCGGGGUCAACUCGGAGGAAGGUGGGGAUGACGUCAAGUCAUCAUGCCCCUUAUGUCCAGGGCUUCACGCAUGCUACAAUGGCUGGUACAGAGAGUGGCGAGCCUGUGAGGGUGAGCGAAUCUCGGAAAGCCGGUCUCAGUUCGGAUUGGGGUCUGCAACUCGACCUCAUGAAGUCGGAGUCGCUAGUAAUCGCAGAUCAGCAACGCUGCGGUGAAUACGUUCCCGGG